rnacentral:rRNA from 1 species
UACAGAGGUCCCAAGCGUUGUUCGGAUUCACUGGGCGUAAAGGGUGCGCAGGUGGGUUUGCAAGUUCGAUGUGAAAGCCCCGGGCUUAACCCGGGAAUGGCAUUGGAUACUGCAGAUCUGGAGGAUCGGAGGGGGGACUGGAAUUCUUGGUGUAGCAGUGAAAUGCGUAGAUAUCAAGAGGAACACCAGUGGCGAAGGCGGGUUGCUGGGCUGACACGUGACGCUGGAUGCGCGAAAGCUAGGGGAGCGAACGGG